rnacentral:rRNA from 1 species
AGUGAACGCUGGCGGUAGGCCUAACACAUGCAAGUCGAACGGCAGCACAGUAAGAGCUUGCUCUUACGGGUGGCGACUGGCGGACGGGUGAGGCAUACAUCGGAAUCUACUUUUUCGUGGGGGAUAACGUAGGGAAACUUACGCUAAUACCGCAUACGACCUACGGGUGAAAGCAGGGGAUCUUCGGACCUUGCGCGAUUGAAUGAGCCGAUGUCGGAUUAGCUAGUUGGCGGGGUAAAGGCCCACCAAGGCGACGAUCCGUAGCUGGUCUGAGAGGAUGAUCAGCCACACUGGAACUGAGACACGGUCCAGACUCCUACGGGAGGCAGCAGUGGGGAAUAUUCGACAAUGGGCGAAAGCCUGAUCCAGCCACACCGCGUGGGUGAAGAAGGCCUUCGGGUUGUAAAGCCCUUUUGUUGGGAAAGAAAAGCAGCAGGUUAAUACACGGCUGUUUUGACGGUACCUAAAGAAUAAGCACCGGCUAACUUCGUG